AUCUUAAUGUUGUUCACUUGAGUGAUGAUAUUAUAAGGAAAAGUGUAAUAUCACAGGAUAUUUAUGUUUAGUAACCAGUAAUUCAGAGAUUGGUAUUCAUGGUUACUAUAACGAGGCUGUAGAAACGCACCCUUUCUUCUUUGCAAAUGGUCCUGUAUUUAUGUCUAAGCCGAAACUGGAACCUCUGAAUAAUUUAGAUUUAUUCUUGUUAUUUUCUAAAAUACUUAUCUACAGUAUACCAUAAGGAAUGAUACCGUAUCGCACCUAAUCAAGUGCCUUAAGAAACAUCAACAGGAUAUCACAGUAAUCCCGUAUCGACUGAUAUUUGUAGCCACUACAAUAUCUAUGACACUGGUAGUAAUUAUGAGAACAAUAAUGAUGUGUUCUAUAAGAGGAAAUGAUGAUUAGGAACAAAAACUUACAGGUAAGUCAAAGUAUAUGUUAUUUGCCAUUUGAAAAGAAAGUUACUAACUUGGAAUUUUUUGAUAAAUAAUAAUUGUAUCAUACGUACUUUUGAAUUCGUGCAAGAACAUAUGUAAUUUUGAAGUAGUUAUUAUUAGGAAAUUGUUAGACGCGAACAGUAUGCGAAAAGUUAGUAUGCAGUGUAAUAAUUAUCAAUCAAAACACAAGAAUUAAAUUCUUGAGGAAAAAAUUUCCGGAAUUUCUUAUUUACAUGAUUAUAAAGAAAUCCAUAAUAAAAAGGAGCUGCUUUCUAAUACUUCUCUUCCUUGUAAUGCCUGCGUUAAUAAUAACGAGGUUCGACUUUUUGUUUUUAGAGGGAUACUGGAAAAUUUGAAAGUACAGUACCAUUGGGAAGAAAAUCACGAUAUUGAAAACGAUAUUUGCAAAUUGAACAAUAUUCCAGAUUUAUUCAUAAUUUCAUACUACGCGAAGAAUAGACUUUUCAUAGGUAUAUAAAGGAAAUAUUAAGUAUAGGAAAACUCUUUUUCGUUGUAGGUGACAUAUGCUUCACGGUUGAACACAUGUAUUUUUGAACACAUAUAAAUGAAAAAGUACUCUUAUGGAGAAAAAGAAUUGAUACCUUCGAUUGACAUUAGAUAAUGUAUAUAAACUUAUGAACAAUCACUAUCAGUUUGUAUCUUAGGUGCACACGCAGAUUUGUUGGAGUUCUUAUAAAAUGUACUUCCUGUACGAACGUUUUAUUCUUCCAAAUUUUACGAUACUAUGUCUCAUAUAAUAACUAUAUGGAUUAAACGUAAUAUAAAUGAUCCGAAAAUAGACUCGAACGACAUUAAUUGUCUUUCUAUUUAUACCAAUAUCGAAAAUACAAGUAAAGCUGGAGCAAUAGUAUGCAAGAAUGGACUAUUUAUUAUUUUAAACCAAAUCAUAGCAUAUUCAGAAUGCACAGUAUUAUCAUGAAAUGUAAAUGAAUCAGUUGUAAACGAACGAUUUUACUGUAAAAUCGUUGCCUCCUUUUUUUCAUCUGAAAUAUAGCAGCAAUGAGUACAUUCUUUUAAUAUAUAAUAAAACGAGAUAUCUUUAUAAAGUUACAUAUGUCAUCACUGGUAACUGUUAUCUCGUAUGACACCAAAUAUACCGUUAGUAUGGAAUGAUAUUUUUAUGAAGAUAUACUUUAAUGAUAGAUUUUAUGAAUGAAACGUUAUAUAAGAAAAAUUAUCUCUUGUUAUUCUAUGAAGUGUAGUAGCUAAUGAAGAUUAAUUUUACGAAGUAUUAGAGCAAAAGAGAAUUAAAAAAUUAAAAAGAUCUAAAUAAGA